CACGUAGGGGACGAGCGUUGUCCGGAAUUACUGGGCGUAAAGGGCGCGCAGGCGGUAUAUCAAGUCAGCUGUCAAAGACUGGGGCUCAACCCUGGUAUGCGGUUGAAACUGAUAUGCUGGAGUGCUGUAGAGGCAAGUGGAAUUCCCAGUGUAGCGGUGAAAUGCGUAGAUAUUGGGAAGAACACCGGUGGCGAAGGCGACUUGCUGGGCAGCAACUGACGCUGAGGCGCGAAAGCCAGGGGAGCAAACGGGAUUAGA
rnacentral:rRNA from 1 species